rnacentral:misc_RNA from 1 species
UUCCUGAACUGUGGCCACCCCUACCUCUAAUGCAACUCAUAUUGUUGAAUUAUUCUUUUGAUAGGUUGUGAGAUUACAUGGUGUACCAACUUCUAUUGUUUCUAAUAGAGAUGUAAAGUUUACAGGGCACUUUGGAAGGACUUUAUGGAGAAAAUUUUUGACAGAAUUGAAAUAUUCUUGCACCUACCAUUCAGAAACUGAUGGCCAAACAGAAGUUG